CAGCUGGACGCACAUCAAGUCCUCUGCCUGGUAAUCUGUUAAGGUGGCCAGUCUGGUGGAUUGGUCAUUAUGUUUGGCUCUCACACAGAAGUUAAGUCAAACAGAGACAUAUACAAGGAUGUGCUGAUGCUGUGGUGAUGAUGAGGACUUCGAUGCUGGAAACCAAAGGAGACUGCUAAGAGACAUCUAAGGGACAGGAUCGCAGUGCCACCAGAGAACACUUUGAAACAUUUGUUGGGUUCUCUGGGAAAACAACACAAUGCUGCAAAGAGAAUUUAAUUAAACUUAGGAAAGGGGCUGAGAGCAAAACAAAAAUA